CUUAGCAAACUAACGCAGGAGCAGAAAACCAAAUACCACAUGUUAUCACUGAAAAUACAUGGACACAUAGAGGGGAACAACACACACUGGGGCCUAUCAGAGGCUAUAAAAUAGAAACAAUAGAAACUACCUCAGACUAUUGUGAGAAAUAAAUAAAACACAUGAUAUAAUUAGCACAUAAAUGUUGGCUCUCUGAGCUUUGGCCUCACUAUCAAUCUUCCAGUUCCUCAUUUUACAUACUGCUUACCCUUACCCCAGCCCUUUUACUUUGUCAUUGCCUACUCUUCUUUCAGAUCUCGUUUCAAUCCCUACUUCCUCAGGGAAGACUUACCUAACUAGGUCAAUUCUCAUUAUAUUUGUUUAGAAAGACAGAUAUAAUCCAUGUUUAUUUGGUUGUUCAUUCAUUCAUUUUCUCAUUCAUUCAUCUAAGACCCCAUCAUAUUUUAUCU
rnacentral:lncRNA from 1 species